UACGUAGGGGGCAAGCGUUGUCCGGAAUCAUUGGGCGUAAAGAGCGUGUAGGCGGCUCGGUAAGUCCGCUGUGAAAGUCCAGGGCUCGACCCUGGAAUGCCGGUGGAAACUGUCGAGCUAGAGUCCGGAAGAGGCGAGUGGAAUUCCUGGUGUAGCGGUGAAAUGCGCAGAUAUCAGGAGGAACACCAAUGGCGAAGGCAGCUCGCUGGGACGGUACUGACGCUGAGACGCGAAAGCGUGGGGAGCAAACAGG
rnacentral:rRNA from 1 species